GACGAACGCUGGCGGCGUGCUUAAUACAUGCAAGUCGAACGGACAGGCCCUGCUCUUGUGGGGUGCUUGAGUGGCGAACGGGUGUGUAACACGCGAGUAAACUGCCCUUGACUUUGGGAUAACUUCAGGAGACUGGGGCUAAUACCGGAUAGGAGCUCCUGCUGCAUGGUGGGGGUUGGAAAGUUUCGGCGGUUUGGGAUGGACUGGCGGCUUAUCAGCUUGUUGGUGAGGUAGUGACUUACCAAGGCUUUGACGGGUAGCCGGCCUGAGAGGGUUACCGGCCACAUGGGUACUGAGAUACGGCCCAGACGCCUACGGGAGGCAGCAGUGGGGAAUAUUGCACAAUGGGCGGAAGCCUGAUGCAGCAACGCCGCGUGCGGGAUGACGGCCUUCGGGUGGUAAACCGCUUUCGCCUGUGACGAAGCGUGAGUGACGGUAAUGGGUAAAGAAGCACCGGCUAACUACGUG
rnacentral:rRNA from 1 species